UACGAAGGGGGCUAGCGUUGCUCGGAAUCACUGGGCGUAAAGCGCACGUAGGCGGACUCUUAAGUCGGGGGUGAAAUCCUGGAGCUCAACUCCAGAACUGCCUUCGAUACUGGGAGUCUUGAGUUCGGGAGAGGUGAGUGGAACUGCGAGUGUAGAGGUGAAAUUCGUAGAUAUUCGCAAGAACACCAGUGGCGAAGGCGCUCACUGGCCCGAUACUGACGCUGAGGUGCGAAAGCG
rnacentral:rRNA from 1 species